UGUAGUUUGAGGGUAUUUAAGAUAAUAUCAAAGUAUUCUCAAAACUUACAUUAUACAUUGACGGGUAAAUCCGAAGAAUCAUGCCACCAACCAAAGACCUAUCAAGAAUAGGAUAAACAUUUAUCAGGUUGUUUUGAAGAUCAUCCCAAUCAAUCCUUGUUGAGCCUUGUAGCAAUUUCAUAUUAAUGUCUACAGUCCAAUUCCAAACACCAUUAAACCAAUUAUCCGAUUCACUUAGUUUUGAUCUAGAACCCUGCACUAAACCAAACAAAUAAGGGAAUUACACUACCAGAGAACCUGGUCCUA
rnacentral:lncRNA from 1 species